UGAGUAUUGACAGACAUCCUAUGCUUACAUUGUUCCAAGGCAGGGGUGCUCAUUAAGUCGAACGCGAUCGACCAGUCGACGUUCAAGGACAUGACGGUAGAUCGCAGGCAAGCAAAGAUAAAUAACCAAAGAAAUAAAUCUAUACUUCUAAAAAAUCAGCCAGCGAAUCAAAAAUCCUCACCGUGAAGUACGGGACUUGAUUGACAUGCAGAACGCCAAUUGGACAUCCUCUGAUACAUACGUCACUGCACAUGCGUGUUUAAAUACACUGAGCGCAAAUUCUGUCUGUCAUCACAAAGUCGCUUUCUGCCCCUCGGCACUUCAAGUCAAGUCCCCGGCAGAAGACCACUCCGGACAACCGGAGUGUUUAUUGAAGCCGCCCCACGUGUCUCCUCCUGCUAUCGCCUUUGCAGUUCUCGCCCGAUAGAUAUGAGCUCAUUAAAGAAGCUGUGUUUACCGUGGCACGUGCUUCGUAUGGAGCUAGCAGCGCUUUGGAAAUGCCAUGCUCCCCGCAUUGCAGACUCCUCCCCCUCCCAGCUCUGCUCCUGCCUCGGAGCUGUGACCACUCAUCUCAUCUCAUCGCCGCACCUGUUACUUAAGGAGACUCACGGCAAGCAGUCUUCGCCAGUCCGUUAACACUGAUGGUCUUUUCUUCCAAGAGUGUCACCCGAGUCUUUCACCACCUCGAGCAGAAGCUGUAUUCCUCGACACUCCUCAAAAGCUCCAGCCACGCCCCAGCCAAGAACUCCAGCCUGCAGCAG